AAACUCGCCUACAUGAAGCUGGAGUUACUAGUAAUCGCAGAUCAGAAUGCUGCGGUGAAUGCGUUCCCGGGUCUUGUACACACCGCCCGUCACACCACGGAAGUUGGGGGCGCCCGAAGCCACUUAGCUAACCCUUUUGGGAAGCGAGUGUCGAAGGUGAAAUCAAUAACUGGGGUGAAGUCGUAACAAGGUAGCCGUAUCGGAAGGUGCGGCUGGAUCACCUCCUUU
rnacentral:rRNA from 1 species